CGCAUCUGUGCAUGCAGCAUAUCAAUAAGCGGAGGAAAAGAAACUAACAAGGAUUCCCUUAGUAACGGCGAGUGAAGCGGGAAGAGCUCAAAUUUGAAAUCUUCAAGGUUUUACCUUGACGAAUUGUAGUUUAAAGAAGUGUUUUCUGUUGAAGUUUUGGUAAAAGUUCUUUGGAAUAGGACAUCAUAGAGGGUGAGAAUCCCGUAUUUGACCAUUAUUUUCAGUUGUGUGAUACACUUUCAAAGAGUCGGAUUGUUUGGGAAUGCAGUCCAAAAUGGGUGGUAAAUUUCAUCUAAAGCUAAAUAUUGGCGAGAGACCGAUAGCGAACAAGUACCGUGAGGGAAAGAUGAAAAGAACUUUGAAAAGAGAGUUAAACAGUACGUGAAAUUGUCAAAAGGGAAGCGUUUGACACCAGUGUUGUUUUCUCGAAAAUCAAUUAAAAAGAGUUAGAUUUUGUUGUGUAUUGACCUAACAGCUUGCAUUUCAAUUUUCUUGCUUUUUUUAAUGCACUUUUCGUUUAACAAGUCAACAUCAGUUUCUUUUGUUGUAAAAAGGUCAUUGGAAGGUGGCUUUCUUUUCGGAGAAAGUGUUUAUAGCCUUUGACUCCUGCAAUCGGAGAGACUGAGGUCUGCAGCGUAGAUCCUUCGGGGUUAGAUACAUUUGUGCUAAGUUAUAGCUUUUUAUAGACAACUUGUUGACUAUGAUUAGUCUUGUAGCUUACUCGCUUAUGCUAUUUUACCUACGCUUAGGAUGUUGAUGUGAUACUGCGAGCA
rnacentral:rRNA from 1 species